GAUGAACGCUAGCUACAGGCUUAACACAUGCAAGUCGAGGGGCAGCAUGAACAUAGCUUGCUAUGUUUGAUGGCGACCGGCGCACGGGUGCGUAACACGUAUCCAAUCUGCCCGUUACUCGGGGAUAGCCUUCUGAAAGGAAGAUUAAUACCCGAUGGCAUGUAUUUCCGGCAUCGGAGAUACAUUAAAGAUUUAUCGGUAACGGAUGAGGAUGCGUGCGGUUAGCUAGUUGGCGGGGUAACGGCACACCAAGGCAACGAUCGUUAGGGGUUCUGAGAGGAAGGGCCCCCACACCGGAACUGAGAAACGGUCCAGACUCCUACGGGAGGCAGCAGUGAGGAAUAUUGGUCAAUGGUCGGAAGACUGAACCAGCCAAGUAGCGUGAAGGAUGACUGCCCUACGGGUUGUAAACUCCUUUUGUUUGGGAAUAGAAGACGCUACGUGUAGCGUUCUGCAUGUACCUUACGAAUAAGCAUCGGCUAAUUCCGUGCCAGCAGCCGCCGCCGUAA
rnacentral:rRNA from 1 species